GACGAACGCUGGCGGUGUGCUUAACACAUGCAAGUCGAACGGUGAGGCCCUUUCGGGGGUACACGAGUGGCGAACGGGUGAGUAACACGUGAGUAACCUGCCCUCAUCUCUGGGAUAACAGUCGGAAACGGUUGCUAAUACUGGAUAUGAGCUUGCAAGGCAUCUUGUGGGUUGGAAAGAUUUUUUUGGUUGGGGAUGGACUCGCGGCCUAUCAGCUUGUUGGUGAGGUAGUGGCUCACCAAGGCUUCGACGGGUAGCCGGCCUGAGAGGGCGACCGGCCACAUUGGGACUGAGAUACGGCCCAAACUCCUACGGGAGGCAGCAGUGGGGAAUAUUGCACAAUGGACGGAAGUCUGAUGCAGCAACGCCGCGUGCGGGAUGACGGCCUUCGGGUUGUAAACCGCUUUCAAUUGUGACGAAGCUUUUUGUGACGGUAGCAGUAGAAGAAGCACCGGCUAACUACGUG
rnacentral:rRNA from 1 species